rnacentral:rRNA from 1 species
UAGGGAAUCUUCGGCAAUGGACGAAAGUCUGACCGAGCAACGCCGCGUGAGUGAAGAAGGUUUUCGGAUUGUAAAACUCUGUUGGUAGAGAAGAACAAGGACGUUAGUAACUGAACGUCCCCUGACGGUAUCUAACCAGAAAGCCACGGCUAACUACGUGCCGGCAGCCGCGGUAAUACGUAGGUGGCAAGCGUGUUCCGGAUUUAUUGGGCGUAAAGCGAGCGCAGGCGGUUUCUUACGUCUGAUGUGAAAGCCCCCGGUUCAACCGGGGAGAGUAAGUGGAAACUGGGAGGCUUGAGUGCAGAGGAGGAGGGUGGAAUUCCAUGUGUAGCGGUGAAAUGCGAAAAUAUAUAGAGGAACACCAGUGGCGAAGGCGGCUCUCUGGGCUAUAUCUGACGCUGAGGCACGAAAGCGUGGGGAGCAAACAGG